AGCAGUCGCCGCGGUAAUACGUAGGGUGCAAGCGUUAUCCGGAAUUAUUGGGCGUAAAGAGCUCGUAGGCGGUUUGUCGCGUCUGCUGUGAAAACUGGAGGCUCAACCUCCAGCCUGCAGUGGGUACGGGCAGACUAGAGUGCGGUAGGGGAGAUUGGAAUUCCUGGUGUAGCGGUGGAAUGCGCAGAUAUCAGGAGGAACACCGAUGGCGAAGGCAGAUCUCUGGGCCGUAACUGACGCUGAGGAGCGAAAGCAUGGGGAGCGAACAGGAUUAGAUACCCCAGUAGUCCCUGUCUCUUAUAC
rnacentral:rRNA from 1 species